rnacentral:rRNA from 1 species
AGUGAACGCUGGCGGUAGGCCUAACACAUGCAAGUCGAACGGCAGCACAGUAAGAGCUUGCUCUUACGGGUGGCGAGUGGCGGACGGGUGAGGAAUACAUCGGAAUCUACUUUUUCGUGGGGGAUAACGUAGGGAAACUUACGCUAAUACCGCAUACGACCUACGGGUGAAAGCAGGGGAUCUUCGGACCUUGCGCGAUUGAAUGAGCCGAUGUCGGAUUAGCUAGUUGGCGGGGUAAAGGCCCACCAAGGCGACGAUCCGUAGCUGGUCUGAGAGGAUGAUCAGCCACACUGGAACUGAGACACGGUCCAGACUCCUACGGGAGGCAGCAGGGGGGAAUAUUGGACAAUGGGCGCAAGCCUGAUCCAGCCAUACCGCGUGGGUGAAGAAGGCCUUCGGGUUGUAAAGCCCUCUUGUUGGGAAAGAAAAGCAGCAGGUUAAUACCCCGCUGUUCUGACGGUACCCAAAGAAUAAGCACCGGCUAACUUCGUG